rnacentral:rRNA from 1 species
GAUGAACGCUGGCGGCGUGCCUAAUACAUGCAAGUCGAGCGAACAGACGAGGAGCUUGCUCCUCUGACGUUAGCGGCGGACGGGUGAGUAACACGUGGAUAACCUACCUAUAAGACUGGGAUAACUUCGGGAAACCGGAGCUAAUACCGGAUAAUAUAUUGAACCGCAUGGUUCAAUAGUGAAAGACGGUUUUGCUGUCACUUAUAGAUGGAUCGGCGCCGCAUUAGCUAGUUGGUAAGGUAACGGCUUACCAAGGCAACGAUGCGUAGCCGACCUGAGAGGGUGAUCGGCCACACUGGGACUGAGACACGGUCCAGACUCCUACGGGAGGCAGCAGUAGGGAAUCUUCCGCAAUGGGCGGAAGCCAGACGGAGCAACGCCGCGUGAGUGAUGAAGGUCUUCGGAUCGUAAAACUCUGUUAUUAGGGAAGAACAAAUGUGUAAGUAACUAUGCACGUCUUGACGGUACCUAAUCAGAAAGCCACGGCUAACUACGUG